UUCCGUAGGNNUAACCUGCGGAGGGAUCAUUACCGAGUUUACAACUCCCAAACCCCUGUGAACAUACCACUUGUUGCCUCGGCGGAUCAGCCCGCUCCCGGUAAAACGGGACGGCCCGCCAGAGGACCCCUAAACUCUGUUUCUAUAUGUAACUUCUGAGUAAAACCAUAAAUAAAUCAAAACUUUCAACAACGGAUCUCUUGGUUCUGGCAUCGAUGAAGAACGCAGCAAAAUGCGAUAAGUAAUGUGAAUUGCAGAAUUCAGUGAAUCAUCGAAUCUUUGAACGCACAUUGCGCCCGCCAGUAUUCUGGCGGGCAUGCCUGUUCGAGCGUCAUUUCAACCCUCAAGCACAGCUUGGUGUUGGGACUCGCGUUAAUUCGCGUUCCUCAAAUUGAUUGGCGGUCACGUCGAGCUUCCAUAGCGUAGUAGUAAAACCCUCGUUACUGGUAAUCGUCGCGGCCACGCCGUUAAACCCCAACUUCUGAAUGUUGACCUCGGAUCAGGUAGAANNCCCAANNC
rnacentral:rRNA from 1 species